AUCUCUGUAGAGUCUGCAUAUCAAUAAGCGGAGGAAAAGAAACUAACAAGGAUUCCCUAGUAACGGCGAGUGAAGCGGGAAGAGCUCAAAUUUGAAAUCUUCAAGGUUCUACCUUGACGAAUUGUAGUUUAAAGAAGUGUUUUCUGUUAGAUGAGUAGUAAAAGUUCCUUGGAAUAGGGACAUCAUAGAGGGUGAGAAUCCCGUAUUUGACUAUUCUUUCUAGCUUUGUGAUACACUUUCAAAGAGUCGGAUUGUUUGGGAAUGCAGUCCAAAAUGGGUGGUAAAUUUCAUCUAAAGCUAAAUAUUGGCGAGAGACCGAUAGCGAACAAGUACCGUGAGGGAAAGAUGAAAAGAACUUUGAAAAGAGAGUUAAACAGUACGUGAAAUUGUCAAAAGGGAAGCGUUUGACACCAGUGUUGUUUUUCCGAAAAUCAAUUAAAAAUUGAUUCAUGCCAGGUUGUAUUGACCUUAUCAGCUUGCAAUUUGGUUUUGGGUCUCUUUUUGAUGCACUUUUCGGUUAACAAGUCAACAUCAAUUUCCUUUGCUGUAAAAAGGUAAGAGGAAGGUGGCUUCAAUUUCGGUUGAAGUGUUUAUAGCCUUUUAUCUCUGCAGUCGGGGAGAUUGAGGUCUGCAGCGUAGAUCCUUCGGGGCUAGAUACAUUUAUGCUAAGUUAUAGCUUUUCAUAGACAACUUGUUGACUAUGUUUAGUCAUGUAGCUUACUCGUAAGUGCUAUUUUACCUACGCUUAGGAUGUUGAAGACUCUACAGAGAUA
rnacentral:rRNA from 1 species